UUAGUUGCUCCGCAGCAUGUGGGAUCUUAGCGGCCCAGGUCCCCUGCAUUGGCAGGCGGAUUCUUAACCACUGUGCCACCAGGGAAUUCCCGAAAACUGAUGUAUUUUUUGAAAUGUCCUGCUAAAACAGCUCUUUUCUGAGAAUUUUCUUUUAAGAAUUUUGCAAUUUAGAAUUCCUCUGUUAUCAUCUGGGCUUUCUCUUUUACUCUGGCGGCCGCAGCUCAAGUGUUGGAGACCAACGACAUCGAAAUUAUCUCAGUAGUCUAAAGAGUACAGUAGGAAUUAAAAGCAUAAAUGACCAACAUCAGAAUCUUUCCAGGGACUUCCCUGGUGGUCCAGUGGGUAAGACUCCUUGCUCCCAAUGCAGGGGGCCCAGGUUCGAACCCUGGGCUGGGAACCAGAUCCCGCAUGCAUACUGCAACUAAGACCCGGCACAGCCAAAAUAAAUAAAUAAUAAAAUAGAUUAAAUACAUUUUAAAAAACUGCAAAAAGACUAACAAGACUUGAUCUAUUUAAAAAAAGAAUCCAGAUUUGGCAGAGACAAUUUGAGAACGGGAGAUUCCAAUCCCUAGGGCAAGGGACAAAAAUGCAAAAAUAAAAAGAUAGGACAGGGCAACAGAUGGCAAAUCCCUAUGGCUUCCCACUUUUGCCUACCAUAGGCUGAAAAAAAAUUUUUUUUCAGAGAUGGUUUAGAAGUUGUGGUGUUUUAUUUUUAGGUAACAGUGAGAAAUUGCCUCAAAGUGUACGUGCCAACAUCGCUUUCCUGGUUCUAUGGUACUUCCUGAGAGAAGAACUUCAUUUCUACGGGAGUUGGUGAUUGAGGUGAAUCCUGUAAUAAAAGUAGGUUCACAGGGUACAUCCCCAGGGGUGAUUGACUGUGAUAUGACCAGGAGCUCCUGAGCUUUCAACGCUUCCCUUGAAAUUUGCUUCCACACGCAGACAGCGGCACAGGUGGGUGUGGGUCUGGGCCUUCUCCCAAGAGGAGGGAGCACUGAACACUUCAGCUUACGUAUCUCCUUGGGGCUCCUUAGUCGGCGGGGGGAGGGGAGGUGGGGAAGCUGCUGCUGUGAAGUACUCCCUUUGUGGGGAGACCUGGAGUAGUCAGAACUUGGGGUGUCAAGGGAAACCUGGCUGACACACCACAGUAGAUCCCCAGGUUCCCAGGUACAGAGGCCUCUCCAUAUCCCUCUGAUGUCUUGGACUGGGCAGAGGGUGCAAGGACAGGGCGUCCCAGAGCUGUGCUUCCCAACAGGGGAAGAGCCGGGUGGACGGUCUCUGUCUAGGAAUGAUGGGCACUGGCAGAAGCUGGACACGUGCCACCGUGCUGACAGGGGGUCUUAUUCCAUCUGGUGCUCCAAAAACAUUGGAAGGCCACAAAGCUAGCAAGUGCGCUGCCUUCCUGUCGUAAGUAUUCUCUGGUCGCUCUUUUAGUGUUUGAAUUGGCUGUAAGUAGAAGGACAGAGAGAUCAAGUUAGAGAAAGCACUUCCUGGCUGGAGUAUACAGGCGGCGCCAGGCUAAUUGACAGUUUUGGCCUAAAAGAACCUUUUUUUUUUUUUUUUUUUUUUUUGAGGGAGCAGUGCACAUAUGACUUCUGUAGGAGAUAAAGGGAGCAUCUGAGGCUGGGGUGACAUGCAAUAGGUAAGUGUGGUUGAAGUUGGGCUAAACUGGGAAACUGGUUUGGCUUUUGCCUGAUUCGCCUACAUUUUGAAUGCCAUCUGUCCUCUGAGAUACAAAACUUAGAGAAUGGGGAAGCAAUUCCUGGGGACAGGUCCAUGUCAGUGUCCCCAAGUAGAAAGGUCCUAAAGCAUCCUUAGAUCGCUGCUGUACCCUGGUCACUGCCACCCACCACCAGAGUCAUUUGCAUGCUGGUGCUUUGACUAAACAGUUAAGAUGGGCUAGAUAUUUUCUGUCCUUUCAUUUUUCUCCCCUUUAUUACCAGUGUGUCACAAUGGUAGGACAUCUUCCACAAAGAAGUCUUUUUGGCACAAGUGAGCGAUAUUCCACAAACCCCAUGACUCAUCAGUGUCCUUUCAUUUGGUCUAAUAUCUUUAUAUCCUUCUUGUCUCCAUGGACCUAUUUUUCAUCACCAGUUUCCCAUUAGAGUAGUAAAGUCCCAUGAACAAAAACUAUAAAUAGGUCAAAGCUUUUCUUGAGCCCAAGUUCUGUUGGUCUUGCUAAGGGAGCCACAGAGCUUUUUAGGCAAGAGUUAGAGCCUACAAACACCCUAGUCAUUAUGUCCUAAAUGAUUAAAUUUUUGGUUGGUGUCGUUGUUAUUUUAGGAUUUCCUUCAGGAUGAUAUUAGAAUUGAAAUGGUUAGUUUCAGCUUUAUGUCUUCUAAACUUAGCCCAGGACCGAAUUUUUCUGGUAUGACAGAAGAAUAUUACAUGAAAAAAAAAAAAAAAAAUCUGUUCUCGCUGAAUCCGAAACAUUUCUAUUUGGGUUCAGUACACAAGAGGUUUGAAAAAUUCAGACCCACUCUUAUUUUACCAGUCCCUCAAAUAUUACCAGAGUGCUAAGUUUCAACAAUUCAAGUAUGGACUUCUCUUGUCAAUCAUCUAAAACAAAAGUUCCUAACCUGGGAGAAAUUCUGCCCUCCAGGGGACACUUGACAAUGUCUGGAGACAUUGUUUGCUAUCACAUAUGGAGGAUAGGGGGGCUAUUGGCAUCUAGAGGGGACAGGUCAGGGAUGCUGUAAACAUCCUGCAAUGCACAGGGCAACUCGGCAACAAAGAAUUAUCCAGCCCCAAAAGUCAAUAGUGCCGCUAUUGAGAAACCCUGAUCCAAAGUAACAAUUCUUUUAGGAAACAUAAAUGCUAUUAUUGACUUACCAGCAUCUGAACUAUAUAGUAGCUUUUUCUGUACCCAGGACUGCUGUCACUGCUCUCUUCUGGCAAACCAAGCACCCCUUUCUAUAAACAGAAAAAUGAAGUUGUCUUAGAACCCCUUUUUUCUUUUGGUCUGUUGCUUCCUUUCCAAAUGGGUACCUAUUACUCAAAAUGUGGAGAAGAGCUACUCAAAGUACAUAUACUAAGUGUGUGGCUCUGGCAAGAUACACAAUGUCUUGGAUAAAAUGGGAAACGUGCAAACAGACUCAGGGCAAGUCAAGGGCCAGAAGCGGUCUCUGUCCCCAUCCCUCCUUCUCACCGGAACCCUGGCCUCACAUACUUUCUUGCCUUGUGUCUCUGUGUCUCUGCUCUGCAGCCAGAACCAACCUUGGCCUUCUCAUCCCAGCUUCCUCCUCUGCUGGGACCUCAGAGACGGUGCAAGUUGGUCUACGAGCCCAUGUGCAAAAUUACCCCUGACACCACCCCACGCCCCCUCAGCCAGACCCCAGGAGCAAGCCAGGUUUCAACUUUGACUUUUAUCUCCUCCCCCCAAAAACACACACCUUUUCAGCUAUGUGUGUAUGUUGGCUAAAAUUCCCUUUUUUUUUUCCUAUCUUCAGAGGAUUUCCACUUAAAUGUUCACAUUAGGCCCUUUGUGACAUCCUGUAAUGUUCCAAAAUAUGUUUAGUCCCUUGGAUGAAUUAAGUGAAUAAUAAUGCCAAAAGUAUCUCAUGAAAAAAAAUGUAUAAAUAGAAAGCAUCGCUCUGAAUAUAAAAUUAUCAGAAUCAGUGGUUAAAACAGUAUGCUCUCACUUCUGAUACCAGCCCUAUGAAGAAGGCAUACAGGAAGCGCAGAUGUCCUUUGGUCCUGAAGCCAUAACUGGGCUGCUAUGAACUAAGUGUUUGUGUCCCCCUACAAUUCAUAUACUGAAACCCUAAUUCCCCAUGUGAUAGUUUGGAGGUGGGGCCUUUGGAACGUAAUUAGGUUGUGAGGUUGGAGUCCUCAUGACUGGGCUUGGUGCUUUUAUAAGACAAGACACCAGAGAGCUUGCUUCCUCUCUCUCUGCCAUGUGCGGAUGCAAGAUGGUCGUCUGCAAAUCAAAAAGAGAGGCUUCACCAGGAGUGGAUUGGCCGGCACCUUGAUCUUGGACUUCUCAGCCUCCAGAACUGGGGGAAAUCAGUUCUUAUUGUUUGAAUCACCCAGUCUGUGAUAUUUUGUACAGCAGCCCAAGCAGACUAAAACAUGGACUCAGCAGGAAAGAGCGCCAAGAUCAAUUAGCAAUGUCCAUCCUGAUUAAGCUAAAUGGGCAGUGAUGUUAUGUAUGCUUAUAUUUCCCAUUAAUUCUAGAUAUAUAGUAGACAUAUAUUUCUAUCUACCUUUUUGGAAAGAACAAGAAUUCUUUCUUUUUGGGGGAAUCAUUCUUGUAUCCCCAUACCAUUGGUCAAGAAAUAUAUGUUGAAUAAAUCACUUGUACAAAUUCUAAAAUUCACACAUGACCCUGUAUUUUACUCUAUCUCCCACAGAACGGGUGAGAACCAGGGACAAUAUUGCCGAGUCUAGAUGCCUAUGCUGGGUGACCAGCCAGACUGACUUGCUAGGUUAGUCAUUUGUUCCCAUAAAUCAGUCAAUAGCAACACACAAUUCAAGUUUCCACAAAAUGACAAGUUAUAUGUUACAGACUUCUAGGUUGCUCGUGAAUAAUGGGGACUGUGAUGACAAAGCCCAAACUUUCACUCUGAGGUACCCCACCAGCAAAAGAGUGUAUGCCAUUCUUCUAGAGGCCUAGUAGGAAAGCCAUUGCCUACUGAAAUAUAUGCUGGAGUCUCCCAUUUCAUCUUAAAUAUUUACGUGAACUUUGAACUCUAUGCCACAAUAUGCUUAUUAUACUACUAACAUGUUUUAAAUCACCAGUUAAAUUUUUCUCAAAAAAAAAAAAUCUUCCAGGAAACUAGUGGGAUCUAGUUCCCUGACCAGGGAUUGAACCCAGGCUCCCUGCAUUGGGAGCGCAGUCUUAACUCACCGCACCACCAGGGAAGUCCCUAUAAUAAUGUUCCAGUCUUCGAAGAGGUAUCAUGUUGAGCUCAUGGCUUGGCCCACCUCUGACCUGCCACCAGGUCCUCUGAAGGAGCACAUUGUGAUAGAUGAGAAGGGCGGGUGUGAUACAUGACAUGCCCUAAAUGGACUUUGGUAGGUGUGGCAGGUCAAACCGUGUUCCCUAGAAAGACCUGUACCAGUUCUAACCCUCAGUACUGUGACUGUGACCUUCUUUGGAAAUAGGGCCUUUGCAGAUAUGAUUGAGGAUCUCCAGAUGAGUUCAUCCUGGAUUUAACCCAAUAAGAGAGUUUUAACACACAGAGAAACAGGGGAGAAGGCCUUGCGAGGAUGGAGGCAAAGACUGGAAUUAUGCUGCCACCAGCCAAGGAACUUCAAGAGCCAAAAGAAGCUGGAGAAGGCAAGGAAGGGUUCUCCCUGAAAGCCUUUGGAGAACACAUGGCCCUGCUGACACCGUGACUUCUGACUUCUAGACUCUGAGAAUAAACUUCUAUCGUUUUAAGUCACCAGGUAAAUCUAGAUACCCUGGAAGGGGAAGAAGUGGGAACACACCAGUGACUACUCACCAUCUGAGAUGUGGGAACUCCAUGGAGAAAGACCAGAAGACUCACACGCUGCGCCAUGCUGAGGUGCUGAAAGCACAAGUGAAACUUUUUUAUUUCUAUAAAUAAACAUGUGCGUGCGUAUACAUAGA